GAUGAACGCUGGCUACAGGCUUAACACAUGCAAGUCGAGGGGAAACGGCAUUGAGUGCUUGCACUGAAUGGACGUCGACCGGCGCACGGGUGAGUAACGCGUGUCCAACCUUCCCGUUACUGCGGGAUAACCUGCCGAAAGGCAGACUAAUACCGCAUGUUCUUCGAUGACGGCAUCAGAUUCGAAGCAAAGAUCCGUCGGUAACGGAGGGGGAUGCGUCUGAUUAGCUGGUUGGCGGGGCGACGGCCCACCAAGGCGACGAUCAGUAGGGGUUCUGAGAGGAAGGUCCCCCACAUUGGAACUGAGACACGGUCCAAACUCCUACGGGAGGCAGCAGUGAGGAAUAUUGGUCAAUGGGCGGAAGCCUGAACCAGCCAAGUAGCGUGCAGGAGGACGGCCCUACGGGUUGUAAACUGCUUUUAUGCGGGGAUAAAGUGAGGGACGCGUCCCUUUUUGCAGGUACCGCAUGAAUAAGGACCGGCUAAUUCCGUGCCAGCAGCCGCGGUAAUACGGAAGGUCCGGGCGUUAUCCGGAUUUAUUGGGUUUAAAGGGAGCGUAGGCCGGGGAUUAAGUGUGUUGCGAAAUGUAGGCGCCCAACGUCUGACUUGCAGCGCAUACUGGUUCCCUUGAGUACGCGCAACGCCGGCGGAAUUCGUCGUGUAGCGGUGAAAUGCUUAGAUAUGACGAAGAACCCCGAUUGCGAAGGCAGCCGGCGGGAGCGCAACUGACGCUGAAGCUCGAAGGUGCGGGUAUCGAACAGG
rnacentral:rRNA from 1 species